rnacentral:rRNA from 1 species
GACGAACGCUGGCGGCGUGCUUAACACAUGCAAGUCGAACGGUGAAGCUCCAGCUUGCUGGAGUGGAUCAGUGGCGAACGGGUGAGUAACACGUGAGCAACCUGCCCCUGACUCUGGAAUAAGCGCUGGAAACGGCGUCUAAUACUGGAUACGAGAAGGGUCCGCAUGGGCACUUUCUGGAAAGUUUUUCGGUUGGGGAUGGGCUCGCGGCCUAUCAGCUUGUUGGUGAGGUAAUGGCUCACCAAGGCGACGACGGGUAGCCGGCCUGAGAGGGCGACCGCCCACACUGGGACUGAGACACGGCCCAGACUCCUACGGGAGGCAGCAGUGGGGAAUAUUGCACAAUGGGCGAAAGCCUGAUGCAGCGACGCCGCGUGAGGGAUGACGGCCUUCGGGUUGUAAACCUCUUUCAGCAGGGAAGAAGCGAAAGUGACGGUACCUGCAGAAGAAGCACCGGCUAACUACGUG